GACGAACGCUGGCGGCGUGCUUAACACAUGCAAGUCGAGCGGAAAGGCCCUUCGGGGUACUCGAGCGGCGAACGGGUGAGUAACACGUGAGUACUCUGCCCUUGGCUUUGGGAUAGCUACCGGAAACGGUGGCUAAUACCGGAUACGACAAUCGUCUGCAUGGGCUGGUUGUGGAAAGUUUUUUCGGCCAGGGAUGUGCUCGCGGCCUAUCAGCUUGUUGGUGGGGUAAUGGCCUACCAAGGCUUCGACGGGUAGCCGGCCUGAGAGGGUGACCGGCCACACUGGGACUGAGACACGGCCCAGACUCCUACGGGAGGCAGCAGUGGGGAAUAUUGGACAAUGGGCGGAAGCCUGAUCCAGCAACGCCGCGUGAGGGAUGACGGCCUUCGGGUUGUAAACCUCUUUCAGUACCGACGAAGCGCCGAUGAUGGUGGUGACGGUAGGUACAGAAGAAGCACCGGCCAACUACGUG
rnacentral:rRNA from 1 species